rnacentral:rRNA from 1 species
CCCGUCACAUCACGAAAGUGAGUUGUACUAGAAGUCGCCACGCUGACCGCAAGGAGGCAGACGCCCAAGGUAUGACUCAUGAUUGGGGUG